CUCUCUCCUAGGGAAAGGUUUCGCAGCCCUUGCUAUCUUUUCUGACUCUAUUAUCUUUCUUACUGCUGCUCUCUCUCCUAGAACUCUUUAGGUACAGUUAUCACCCAAGCUUGGUCUUCUUCCAUCAGGUGUUAUUUGAAAUCUUUUAAUCAUCUUGUCACCUAUCCCCACCCUACUUAGAAUCAAACCUAAAAUGGUAUGAUGAACAGAUUGUACAGGAAAAGUAAUAAUUAGGGGGGAUCUGUUGUAUUAUAACUUAUCCUUUAGCCUGUGUUUGAAAUCUUUGAUUUUCGUAGGGAUUUCCCUCCCUCUUCUUUUCCCCCCACAAAUUCGUACACAUUGAAGAUCCAAGCACAUCCUUACAGAAAAUUGAACUGUUUAAAAAAAAAAAUGAUUUGCUUAUAUUGCUUGCAUGCUUAUUCUAAAUCUGCAAUGUAUAUAAUUGAUGAUAGUACCGUUAUUAUCCCUGCAAAAAAUUAAAAUAUUUAGUUCUAUCUUUUUACUAUUUUUAUUAGUAGUAUUAUAAUAAUAAUAUUAUUAUUUACUAUUCCACUUGGUUGUUCUUACGAAGUGCUACUUGCAGAUUAUAGAUGCGGCAGAUGAGGUGAUUGAUAGUGUUGACACAGAUGAAUUAGCGAAGUACUUUUCUUUCAAAAGUGAUCCAGAAGAUGAGGGGGCUGAGAAAGUUAAGAAGAAGAUGGAGACGGCACGUGACCAAUUAGCGGAAGCUCUUUACCAAAAAGGAUUAGCUAUGGCAGAGAUUGAAUCCUUGAAGCGAGUAGUAACACAAGUGAUGAAGACUAAAGAAUUCCUCAACUGAACAGUGUGUCAACAACCAGGUAAUCUCAGUUAUCACUCAAGAAUUCCUUCACUUACAUUGCUGCCAUUGCUUGGAAAUGGAGACUAAAUUGGGCACAGGUUUUUUUUGGUUUUUAUUUUUUUCAUUUAUCCUUUUCGAUGUUGUGAUGCAAAGCGUCAUUCUUUGGAAGCUGACAUGGGCAUGGAGAUAGAAGGUGAUGGGCGUGCGCGCAUAUCUUCAACUCGAUCUGGAAGCAGAUCUCGUCUUGCCUCCUGCACCAGCUGGCAGAGUCGACAACCAGGUAAUUUCUAAUCUCAGUUGUCACUCAAGAAUAAAUUCACUUACAUUGCUACAAUUUCUUGGAAAUGGAUAUCGUAUUUCAUGAGUAAAAGAUCAAAAUUAUUUUGUUGACACGGCUUCUACAUGUUCCAAUUAGUAUGGUGUUAGAAUUGUAUGAUGCACGAUUCGAUUCAUACAAUUUAAUAUGAGUUUCAACCAAAAUUAUUUGAAUUGUGUUGUUUGAAAAUUGGGUGUCUUGUUGAAUUGAGAAUUGAGUAGUUCGUCUAUGUUUUUGUUUACAUAAUGUAUUGAAAUGAUGCUUUUUUCUGUUACUCUACAAUGAAACAAAAAUAGGACAAUUGCUUAUAUUCAUAUACGUGGUUAUAUAUAAUUUAUUUAUAUUGAUACUAUGUAGUAUUUGACUUUGAUUGCUACAGUGUUCCCACAUAUGUGUGAGGUUUGGAAAUUCCUUUCCAAUAAUUCGGGCUAUAUUUGAUAAGCAUCCCGCAGAUCUUGUAUGAGAAGGAAAUAAGAAAUGGAAAAAAAAAAAAAAAACUUUGUUUAUAGUUUCAUGUGGAAAAAACAUGCAAAGAGCGAACUGCUAAUACAUGUAUUAUCUUAUGCAAUUUUAUCUUUUCUUUUGUGGAAAUUUUGUUGGAAUUUUGUAUUUCAUUUGUUGUGAUGGGUUAUAGAAACCAAAAACUCACUUUUCGUAGUUUUUAGAUAAUUAGAGAUUGACAAUUCCAACUUCCUUUACUUCAUUCAAAAAGUUGUUCAGAAUAAUUGAUCAGAAUUAUUUUGAGGAACCGGUUUGUGCAUAUUAUUCAAAAUAAUUUUACUUUUAAGAGCAGUUAGUUUUUCGUUUGUAUUUUUUUUUUUCCUUUGUGUUUUUGGCGCUAACCCCUUGCAGGCAAUGACACAUAUAGACAUGGUUAAUCAUUUAAGGUAAUCUCCUAUACUUUUUGAUUUUAUUUUUUUCAUUCAGGACAAUGCAUCGUUUAGGUUGGGGGCAGAAAAUUCUUAUUUUGAGAAGAAUUUAUAUAUUUGCUUGUUGCUAUGAGUUAGUUGUUUUGUUUUUUAAAAAAAAAAAAGUUAGUGCUCAUGGUAAUCUUUUGUUCUAUACAUUGGGUGAUUGGGCAUACUUGUGGUAUUUUAUUGAAGAAUGAUAGUAGACUUUUAACGCUGUGAGUUUUGUGCCAAUCAUUUAUUGGAGAGUUAUUAUACAUCUACUCUUAAUUUUUCUUUGGAAACGCAUUAAUUUAUUGUUUAGUCUCAUUAUUUUUUCAUUUUUGGUUGAAUGCUUAGAAUAAAUCAAUUUGUUAUCAUACUUUUACUCCCUCGAGGACAAUGCAUCGUUCAGGUUGGGGGGAGAAAAUACUUAUCUUGAGAAGAAUUUAUAUGUUGCUUGCUACAAUGAGUUAGUUGUUUUGUUUAAAAAAAAAAAAAAAA